CUGCUUCAGCAGCACAUAUACUAAAAUUAGAAUGAUACAUAGAAGAUUAGCAUGACCUCUGCACAAGGAUGGCAUGCAAAUUCAUGAACUGUUCCAUAUUUUA